ensembl:lncRNA
UGGAGGAGUGUGAUCACCUUCCUUCAGGGCUCAGCCAGGCUCCAGAGCUGGGCAGAGUGGUGUGUAAGGCUUCAUUCCCUGCUUCUUUGUCAGCCCUCAGCAACAGCAGCAGGGCUGGGGUGGUCCCAGGGCUUGCUUGGAAGGCUGCCCAAGACCUCAUCUCCCUUUCAUCUAGGACUUUGCUGUUCUUUAGUUAUUCUACGGCUAUAGAAACCACAAGGCUGUGAGAGGGAAAGAGAAAAGAAAAGAUUAAAUUAAUGAGCAGGAUAUAGAAGAGUAAUAGAAUAGUAAUCUCCCAGGCCUGAGUGGUGGAGCUGCUCGGUCCAAACUGGAUGCAUUCCAAGCCUCAAGUAGGUGACACAAAGCC